UACGGAGGGUGCGAGCGUUGUCCGGAAUUAUUGGGCGUAAAGAGCUCGUAGGCGGUUUGUCGCGUCUGCUGUGAAAACUGGAGGCUCAACCUCCAGCCUGCAGUGGGUACGGGCAGACUAGAGUGCGGUAGGGGAGAUUGGAAUUCCUGGUGUAGCGGUGGAAUGCGCAGAUAUCAGGAGGAACACCGAUGGCGAAGGCAGGUCUCUGGGCCACUACUGACGCUGAGAAGCGAAAGCAUGGGGAGCGAACAGG
rnacentral:rRNA from 1 species